UUAAUCAUAUUGCCCAAGGGCCAUGAUCUAGCUCAGCCUGAAGCCAGGCGAGGCUGAGAAAUAAGCCAUUUGUUCUUCAUUGGUGUGGGAAGAGUGCCAGCUUUGGAGAAGCAGCCUGGACAUUGGACUGUGACCCUGAACAUUGCCUUCAACAUCUGUGAGGCUCAGCCUCCUCCUCUGAGAUGAUGAUGAUGCAUUCCUCACGCAGCUAUUGACAGCAAAAGCUACAUCUAAGACGAUUCCGCUCAAACCUCCAAACCUGCAAAUGCACAGCCAGGAGAAACCCAAGCAGGAGAGAGGCUUGCACAUCCACUGCCUUUGGCCCCCCACCCGACAGACACCUGGAGGGACCUUGGCAACAUCCUCCGCCCCAGCCAGAAAAUAUUCCCAUGCUGGCCCGUGUGCCCUGGGGACCUGGGAUUCCGCCAUUCAGCCCUGCCCUCCCUCCAGAGAACUGAACUCGAAGAGUCUUUAGGAGGCUUUCAGUGUGUCGCUCCUCCCAGAGCCUGGGAUCUGGCCAGGGAGGGCCUGAAAGAAGGAAAUGGGGUACGGAUAGAGGAAGUGGCUUCGGGAAGGUGGAGCACCAAGGCAAACUUUGCUGACCGAGGACUCUUGCUGCUGGCUGACCAGGCCUGCCUGUCACGAGAAUGUUUUCUGGUUGUGGAAAAAAUAUUUCCAAGGUAAUUGUCUUGCUGUGGCCAGGCCCGUGGGUGAGGAAGGCAAUAGGGAGUGCUUCCUUCUGGCCUGCCAGGUACUUUGUACGUAUCUGUUGGCUCAUUGUAUCUAGAAACUCCUUCUGAAGAAACUGAGGCUUGGGGAGGUUGCCUGCCCCCAUACACCCCUCAGGGGCUAAGUGACAGAGCUGAGAUCCCGGGUCGGCUAGACACAAAGCCCUCCUACUUUCUGAAAGAAGCCCUACCCUGCUGGAGAGGGAGAACUGGACACCAUCUGGGAAGAAUUAAGGAGGUUUUUAGAAAAGGCCUCUCUCUGCAGGAAUGAGAAAACCUUCAUCAGGGCUUCUUAAUCAAUAAAGCAAGAACAAAACUCUCUCCCUGCAAACAUUUCUGGACUCCCAGGAGAUGCCUGACUGUGCCCAACAAAUGAUUAAGAAAGCGAGUCUAAAAUUUUUAAAAUCCCCACCCCGACAAG